UGCAACCUGAGCUCAGUCGUGACUACCCGCUGAACUUAAGCAUAUCACUUAGCGGAGGAAAAGAAACUAA
rnacentral:rRNA from 7 species